rnacentral:siRNA from 1 species
UGGCGACGGGUGUCACUCCACC